AGUGAACGCUGGCGGUAGGCCUAACACAUGCAAGUCGAACGGCAGCACAGUAAGAGCUUGCUCUUACGGUUGGCGAGUGGCGGACGGGUGAGGAAUACAUCGGAAUCUACUUUUUCGUGGGGGAUAACGUAGGGAAACUUACGCUAAUACCUCAUACGACCUACGGGUGAAAGCAGGGGAUCUUCAGACCUUGCGCGCUUGAAUGAGCCGGUGUCGGAUUAGCUAGUUGGCGGGGGAAAGGCCCACCAAGGCGACGAUCCGUAGCUGGUCUGAGAGGGUGAAUGGGCAAAUCUGGAAUGGGAAAAGGGUCAAAACCCCUAGGGGAGGCAGAGGAGGGGAAUAUUGGAAAAUGAGGAAAGGCCUGACGAAGAAAGCCGGCGGGGGGAAAGAGGGUUUUCGAGUGGAAAAGCCCGUUGGUAGGGAAAGAAGAGGAGGAGGGUGGAAAGCUGAUGAAGUGACGGUACCUAAACAGAAAGCGACGGCUAACUACGUG
rnacentral:rRNA from 1 species